rnacentral:rRNA from 1 species
AUUGAACGCUGGCGGCAGGCCUAACACAUGCAAGUCGAACGAGUGGCGGACGGGUGAGUAAUGUCUGGGAAACUGCCUGAUGGAGGGGGAUAACUACUGGAAACGGUCGCUAAUACCGCAUACCAUCGGAUGUGCCCAGAUGGGAUUGGCUCGGAGUGGGGGUAACGGCUCACCUAGGCGACGAUCCCUAGCUGGCCUGAGAGGAUGACCAGCCACACUGGAACUGAGACAGGGUCCAGACUCCUACGGGAGGCAGCAGUGGGGAAUAUUGCACAAGGGGCGCAAGCCUGAUGCAGCCAUGCCGCGUGUGUGAAGAAGGCCUUCGGGUUGUAAAGCACUUUCAGCGGGGAGGCGUUACCCGCAGAAGAAGCACCGGCUAACUCCGUGCCAGCCGCCGCGGUAAUAC